AAAAACAUUAUUUAGAAAACCUCAUGUCCUGAGGAUUCUGAAUAACAGGUUCCAUACCUCUGGUAAUUAUUAAAUAACAUCUGCCCUAUGUUUUUUUUGACAAGCGAAAGAAUAACUUAUAGCUUUAAGGGCUAGAUUUUCAGACUACUUAAGCUCUAAAAAUACAGCGAUUUUGGAAAAACAAAGUGAAGUUCCAGGACACUGGAUAAGGUAGAAUUUUCCAAGGGGGUGUCAUCUCUCACAAUUGACUAGGCAUCUGCAGCUUCUUACUUAUCACCCAAAUAACUGAACAUGAUGUGAGCUCUUCCACAUAUAGCUGCAACUGAAAUGGUUCAACCCAACAGAAAAUUCACCUUGUGCUGCAGCAAAGUCAAUUAACAGAAAAGUACCACAAACGGUUGAAGUCAAGCUCAGCUUUGGAAAAGAUACCAAUAUAAACAGGGUUCUCAUCAAGUAAACCUAAUGUCCUUCAUUUUAAAGGCUGGUCCUGUCUGAAGUAGGGCAUUGGAAGCAAGUUACCACAAUUUUUGGCUCUGAGACUUGUACGUUAGACUUAAACAGUGAUUGUUUAUUCCUUUAGUCAUGGAACACACCUGGGCAAUAGUGCUUCUGUAUAUUUUAAUUGUAAAUGCUUUUUGUGAAGACAGAGGUAAUGAACAUGAUGAGAUACAAACUGCGGAAAGAAAGUGCUCUUGUCCAAAUAUUGACAGCAUGACACAAUGUAAUUGGCCAGUGAUCUGUGUACUGAUUGUUACUGGGUUUGCUGUUGGAAGUUAUUUGACUGCAUUGAUUUUUAUACAGAGGCAACAGAAAUUAGGUCAGCGUUUACCCUCUAAUGUGCAAAAAAUACAAUUUAUUUACAGCUCUGAUGAUGACAGCAGUUAACUCAUUAACUUUAUACCCUAAUGUAUGCUAAAAUAAAUGUGUUUUAUUGGAAACAAA